UACGAAGGGGGCUAGCGUUGCUCGGAAUCACUGGGCGUAAAGCGCACGUAGGCGGCGCGGCAAGUCAGGGGUGAAAUCCCGGGGCUCAACCCCGGAACUGCCCUUGAAACUGCAGUGCUAGAAUCUUGGAGAGGCGAGUGGAAUUCCGAGUGUAGAGGUGAAAUUCGUAGAUAUUCGGAAGAACACCAGUGGCGAAGGCGACUCGCUGGACAAGUAUUGACGCUGAGGUGCGAAAGCGUGGGGAGCAAACAGG
rnacentral:rRNA from 1 species